rnacentral:rRNA from 1 species
AACGAACGCUGGCGGUACGCUUAACACAUGCAAGUCGAACGAGAAAGUCCGCAAGGAUGAGUAAAGUGGCGAACGGGUGAGUAACACGUGGACAACCUGCCCUUAAGUCUGGGACAACUCUGUGAAAACAGAGCUAAUACCGGAUAACAACUAUUAUUAGGUUAAUAGUUUAAAAGAUUUAUUGCUUUGGAGGGGUCUGCGGUAUAUUAGCUAGUUGGUGGGGUAACGGCUCACCAAAGGCGACGAUGUAUAGCAGGUCGGAGAGGAUGAUCUGCCACACUGGAACUUAGACACGGUCCAGACUCCUACGGGAGGCAGCAGUGGGGGAAUCUUGCGCAAAUGGGCGAAAGCCUGACGCAGCGAUACCGCGUGAGUGAAGAAGGA